AAAAUAACUGCUCCUACUGCAAAUCCAAAUUCUGAUCAGAAGAUCUCAUGAGCCUCUUUGCUUGGCACAUGCAUCUUGUACAUUUAUUUUAUCUCAUUAACUUCGCUUAUCUAAAUUGUAUUACUUCUUUCAGCUCAAAGCCUUGCUGUGUCUUCUAUAAACAAUUUCCACCUCUCUCUGUGCUUUAUCUCAUUUAUAGGUGUGAUUACUGUUACACUUGAUAACAUCUUGAACUUUCCUAGCAUAUCCCCUAGGACCCCCAAGUGCUUUAUGACUAAUUUAUUGUGAGAGUCAGACACAAGAAACCCUUUCCAGAAGCAGCAGCAACGGAGAAAUACGGAUCAUAAAGGAACUCUGUAGCAGACCAGCACAUAGAUAAGUGUUUAACCAAUAUCAUUUGUCCUUAUUAAUGUUGUAUAAUGUGUUUGGAUUCUUCUGCAUCAUCAGCUUUUAAUAACAAGAGACUUUAUUUAACGCUGAAUUUGGUAUGUAGCUAGGCGGGGGUGGAGAAAAAAGCCAGCUUGCUUUUAAAUAGAUCCACAUGCAUCUCCUUUUCAUCAUUAGAAUAAAUUUCCAGAGGGGUGAGCAGAGGUUUAGCUGCAUGACUCUCAUUAAUGUUAACUUUAUUUCAGUAAUGAGGUGAAAGUACAAUCACUGAAGCUAAUAUAAUCAGAGUGAUGAGACAAAAGUCUGCUGCCAUAAAAUACUGCUGAAGAAGAUGACAUUGACAAUACUGAUAGCAACACAGAUCACACACAGCUGCUGCUUCCACUGUGAGAAACACCAAUUCUGGAAAGCAUAUUCAUUAUCUGGCUGUUCAAAGCAACAGAGCAUGCAAGCCUCACCCUGCCUGGGUUACCUGAGAAAUCAACAUCUCCGUCUGAUUAAGUGACUGCCAGCCAGUCACCUUCUCACUCUAACCUUGAUGUGGCAGGACAGUGACAAGCGCAUAUAGUGUAACAUCACAAAAUAUAUCACUGAUGCUCACAAAUAAAUAGCUUAAUUUGUUUUAA